CCUACGGGAGGCAGCAGUGAGGAAUAUUGGUCAAUGGACGAGAGUCUGAACCAGCCAAGUAGCGUGAAGGAUGACUGCCCUAUGGGUUGUAAACUUCUUUUAUAUGGGAAUAACAUGUUCCACGUGUGGGAUUUUGUAUGUACCAUAUGAAUAAGGAUCGGCUAACUCCGUGCCAGCAGCCGCGGUACUACGGCGGAUCCGAGCGUUAUCCGGAUUUAUUGGGUUUAAAGGGUGCGUAGGUGGAUUGUUAAGUCAGUUGUGAAAGUUUGCGGCUCAACCGUAAGAUUGCAGUUGAAACUGGCAGUCUUGAGUACAGUAGAGGUGGGCGGAAUUCGGGGUGUAGCGGUGAAAUGCUUAGAUAUCACGAAGAACUCCGAUGGCGAAGGCAGUUCACUGGACUUCAACUGACACUGAGGCUCGAAAGUGUGGGUAUCAAACAGGAUUAGAUACCCUGGUAGUC
rnacentral:rRNA from 1 species